rnacentral:rRNA from 1 species
UAACUGCGAAGUGAAGCGGGAAAAGCUCAAAUUUAAAAUCUGGCGUCCUCCGGGUGUCCGAGUUGUAAUCUGGAGAAGCGUUUUCCGCGUCGGACCGUGUACAAGUCUUCUGGAACGGAGCGUCAUAGAGGGUGAGAAUCCCGUCUCUGACACGGACUACCGAUGCUUUUGUGAUGCGCUCUCGAAGAGUCGAGUUGUUUGGGAAUGCAGCUCAAAAUGGGUGGUAAAUUCCAUCUAAAGCUAAAUAUUGGCCAGAGACCGAUAGCGAACAAGUACCGUGAGGGAAAGAUGAAAAGCACUUUGGAAAGAGAGUUAAACAGUACGUGAAAUUGUUGAAAGGGAAACGCUUGAAGUCAGUCGCGUUGGCCGAGACUCAGCCUGGCUUGCCUGGUGUACUUCUCGGUUGACGGGUCAGCAUCAGUUUUGACCGUCGGAUAAAGGUUGGAGGAAUGUGGCAUCCCUCGGGAUGUGUUAUAGCCUCUGAUUCGCAUACGGCGAUUGGGACUGAGGAACUCAGCACGCCUUUAUGGUCGGGGUUCGCCCACGUAACGUGUWUAGGAUGCUGGCAUAAUGGCUUUAAGCGACCCGUCUUGAAACACGGACCAAGGAGUCUAACAUGCCCGCGAGUGUUYGGGUGUUAAACCCGAGCGCGUAAUGAAAGUGAAAGUGAGAU